UCUAGUGUGUCGGGAACUACCUGUGCUGCAACAACUGCCCCGUACACCACUUCUGUAAAAACUACUUUUCCAGUCAUCACAUCUGUACAAUCAACUACCCGUGGCGCCACCCCUGCUGAAAAAAACUGCUUUCCUAGGCACCACUUCUAUAGAAACUACUAGAACAGCUACCACUUCUGCUGAAACUACUUCCCAAUACACCACUUGCCUUUCAUCAGAAUUGAUGAUCCUGGACAUUACUACUACCUUUGGAAACGCUUUGUCAAAAUCCACUACCUCUACAGAAAUUUUUCCUUUUUUUUGUUGUUGUUAACUUGGCAUCACAAAAUCUGCUUCCCUAGACUUAACUCCUUCCUAAACUACAUAGAUAGUUCUACAACAUAUCAGUUGAAACUACAUCUGCCAAAAUGAAGUCAGCUGUAGCUGUGGCAUGUCUUGACAUGUUUUAUUGAACCACUGCAACUAUGGACUAGGACUAUAUGGACUAUAGACUAGGUUUACUGGAAACCUCAUCCCCAGGCAUAAUGUCUGCAAAUCUACUAUUUGGUGUGCCAUUUCUGUAGAAACUAAAACCCAGAGCAUGACUUCUGCAAAUAGUUGCUUAGAAUUGUUUUAUCUUUUGUCUAUUUUACAAUUUGCUUUUAAAGCUGCAAUAAUAGUAGCACUAACAAUCUCCUUAAAAACAUCUAAAGGACUAGUAUCAACAAAAAUUGUCUGAAUUUUUAAUAUUUUUUUUAGUAACUGCAUGGGCUACAAGGAAACAGGUCUGUGAAAAAGGCCACCUACAUGAAAAUGGUGUUCUCCACAACGCCAAUCAACAGCAAUUGAUGAAGCCACGACUGUGACUCUACACUUGCCUCCAUGACCCCUUUUCCGUUAUGGAGUUUGUGGAUUUAAAUGUCUCAUGCAAUGGAAGAUCUGAAUGAUUAUUUUCCACUGUAUCAAGGAACCAGCAAUAUCCCUCCCUGACAAAUGAACGUACACGUACGCUUCUAAAAAGAAGGAUAUGAAAAACGGCUAGAUGGUGGACUGAGGAAAACCCACAAGACCUUGCCCUGAACUCAAAGACUGCUACUGCAGCAGGAGUACUGAUAUUAGUAUCUGUAGUUACUGAAACUGGAAAAUAAAAGAAAAUGUAUGUGAGGGGGGAAAUUAAUGAUGUAAUUUGUCAGCUUAAUGUUUUAUGUGUUGUAAUUAAAAUGUUUGUAAAUGUUUUAUUUUUAUAUGUAAUAAAGAUUUUCAC